AAGUAGCGUGCAGGAUGACGGCCCUAUGGGUUGUAAACUGCUUUUAUAAGGGAAUAAAGUGAGUCUCGUGAGACUUUUUGCAUGUACCUUAUGAAUAAGGACCGGCUAAUUCCGUGCCAGCAGCCGCGGUAAUACGGAAGGUCCGGGCGUUAUCCGGAUUUAUUGGGUUUAAAGGGAGCGUAGGCCGGAGAUUAAGCGUGUUGUGAAAUGUAGACGCUCAACGUCUGCACUGCAGCGCGAACUGGUUUCCUUGAGUACGCACAAAGUGGGCGGAAUUCGUGGUGUAGCGGUGAAAUGCUUAGAUAUCACGAAGAACUCCGAUUGCGAAGGCAGCUCACUGGAGCGCAACUGACGCUGAAGCUCGAAAGUGCGGAUAUCGAACAGGAUUAGAUACCCUGGUAGUCCGCACGGUAAACGAUGGAUGCCCGCUGUUGGUCUGAAUAGGUCAGCGGCCAAGCGAAAGCAUUAAGCAUCCCACCUGGGGAGUACGCCGGCAACGGCAACUCAAAGGAAUUGAAGGA
rnacentral:rRNA from 1 species